rnacentral:rRNA from 1 species
AUGAUGGCUCAAGAUAAUACUAAAUUGUGUGACUUUGCCUAUACCAACAAUAAUGAUUUUAUUAGCACUCCGAUUGCUCCUCUUACCGAUGAUGUAUAUUGUGAAAUUAAUAUUGCUUUGCUAAAUCUUGUCAUGAAAGAUCUAUUUUCUGGCCUUCCAAGUGAAGAUGCCGCUACCCAUCUAAACAACUUUGUUGAUUUGUGUGAUAUGCAAAAGAAUAAAGAUGUGGAUAAUGAUAUUGUUAAACUUAAGCUAUUUCCGUUGUCGCUUAGAGAUCGUCCUAAAGAUUGGUUUUCGUCUUUGCCUAAAAAUAGUAUUGAUUUAUGGAAUAAGUGCAAAGAUGCUUUUAUCACUAUGUAUUUUCCUCCCUCUAAGAUCAUCUCUCUUAGAAAUGAUAUUAUGAAUUUUAAGCAACUUGAUCAUGAGCAUAUUGCACAAUCUUGGGAGAGGAUGAAAUUAAUGAUACGUAAUUGCCCUACACAUGGUUUGAAUUUAUGGAUGAUUAUACAAAAAAAUUGCCGGAUUGAAUUUUGCUUCGAGAAACCUUUUAGAUUUGUCCACAGGAGGCACCUUUAUGGAAAUUACUUUAGGAGAAGCUACCAAACACCUAGAUAA